rnacentral:lncRNA from 1 species
GCCUCCACCUCUGGUGGUCCUGAUGGAGCUUAACUUGCCCCCCCCCGGUGCUUACAUGAACCCCCCAGUUGCCUCCAGUCACAUUCCUGAUGUCAGAGCCUCUUUGCCCCCCCAGGUACAGCAACCUGACAGAGACCAAGAAGCAGUGGUACGAGGAAGAGGAUGAGAACUGGAAACUCCCUGGGGGCUUCACCAUCCAGAAUGAUGAUGUCUAUGAGGACACCAUGCGGGUUGACCUGCAGUCCGUGGACACCUUGGCAAAGGUAGGUCCCCCCACCCACCUGAAGGGGGCGACAUAUGAGGGGUAGCACCCCCACCGAUCUAAUGGACUCACCAUGUGACCCCCCCCCCCCCCCCACCUUAAAAAAUUCCCCCCAGGUCCAAAUCCAGAGGCCAGAGAGGAUCACCUCGGAGCUCUGAGCAGGGAGGAGGGGACACCAGGAGGCUGCCUCCUCUCCCCCCAGGGAGCCACACAGCACUGGGGGAUAACCCUUGCUUUUCGGGAGGUAUCAUGACCUCAAGUUGGGGAUCAUGGCCCUCACUUUUAUGGUCAUGACCCCCACCCUUCCUAUAGCACUUCAUUUGGCCC